rnacentral:rRNA from 1 species
GACGAACGCUGGCGGCGUGCUUCACACAUGCAAGUAGAGCGGAGCGGCGAACGGGUGAGUAACUCGUGAGUAACUGCCCCCCUCUCUGGGCUAACAGUUGGAAACGGAUGCUACUACCGGAUAGUGGGGGGGGACUCGCGUCAUAUCAGCUUGUUGGUGGGGUAGUGGCCUACCAAGGAGCCGACGGGUAGCCGGCCUGAGAGGGCGACCGGCCACAGUGGGCUGAGAUACGGCCCAAACUCCGACGGUAGGCAGCAGUGGGGAAUAGUGCACAAGGGGGGAAACCCGGAUGCAGCAACGCGCGUGCGGGAUGACGGCCUUCGGGUUGUAAACCGCUUUCAGCCAUGACGCGGUAGUGGCAGAAGAAGCACCGGCUAACUACGUGCCAGCAGCCGCGGUAAUUC